GAUCCUGUCGAAGCAUCGAGUGCUCUUGGUCUCGCAUCUUCGGCACGGGAUUUUGACACGACGUUGGAGUCGUAACGAGGAGAUUUAGGCCCCGUUUGUUUCUUUAAUAACUCCUAAAAUUCCUAUCACAUCGAAUGUUUAGAUACUAAUUAGAAGUAUUAAAUAUAGACUAAUUGCAAAACUAAUUGAUGGAGACUAAUUUGCGAGACGAAUCUAUUAAGUAUAAUUAGUCUAUGAUCUGACAAUGUGGUGCUACAGUAAACAUGUGCUGAUGAUGUAUUAAUUAGGCUUAAUAGAUUCAUCUCGGGAAUUAGCCUCCAUCUGUGUAAUUAGUUUUAUAAUUAGCUCAUAUUUAAUCCUUCUAAUUAAUCUCCGAAUAUUUGAUAUGACAUGAAUUUUAGUCCGAGCUGAACAUCCAAACACCCACUUAGCGCAUAUCUCCACUCUUUUGCCAUCUUCUUUGCCCUGCAUGCAGGUAAGGGAUCGAGCUAGAUUUCAUGAAUCCGCGGAGUACGGUGAGUGGCACAUGCUAGAUGCUACUUCUAUCAUGGUAGGUACUUACGCUAUCCAAAGCUAAAGUUGUUGCUGAACUGCUGAUGCAAUGUAACAGCCGAGUGCGAAUGUGACAACCGCUCAUCAGCUACCUCUCCUCUGACGAGUCAUUGUCAAAUGGCGAAUUGGGAGAUAGGAAGAAAAAUGCGAUGCGACGCGACGCGUGCCGUCACCCUUCAUCAUCAAAAACCAUGUACGUACAGGUCUAUGUUUUUUUUAAAACGACAGAAACCAUGUAAAAGUCUAAAGAAAACAUUUGCAGUUUUCCGAGACGAUCCCAACAACCAUGAAUCCUACAGUUUGAAUACCGUCCACGCACGUCAAAAAGGGCACGGGUCCAAUGAUGAAAGGC
rnacentral:lncRNA from 1 species